rnacentral:rRNA from 1 species
AAUAGAUACCCAGGUAGUCCACGCCGUAAACGGUGGGCGCUAGGUGUGGGGGACUUUCCACGUCCUCUGUGCCGCAGCUAACGCAUUAAGCGCCCCGCCUGGGGAGUACGGCCGCAAGGCUAAAACUCAAAGGAAUUGACGGGGGCCCGCACAAGCGGCGGAGCAUGUGGCUUAAUUCGACGCAACGCGAAGAACCUUACCAAGGCUUGACAUGCAGGGAAAUCUCGUAGAGAUACGGGGUCCGCAAGGGCUCUGCACAGGUGGUGCAUGGUUGUCGUCAGCUCGUGUCGUGAGAUGUUGGGUUAAGUCCCGCAACGAGCGCAACCCUUGUCCUAUGUUGCCAGCGAGUAAUGUCGGGGUACUCAUAGGAGACUGCCGGGGUCAACUCGGAGGAAGGUGGGGAUGACGUCAAAUCAUCAUGCCCCUUAUGUUCUUGGGCUGCACACAUGCUACAAUGGUCGGUACAAAGGGCUGCGAGCCGCGAGGUGGAGCGAAACUCCCAAAAAACGCCGGCCUCAGUUCGGAUUGGGGGUCUGCAA